rnacentral:lncRNA from 1 species
AGAUUCGACACAAAACCCGGAAGGACCCCGCCGAAGGUUUUCUCCGGUUCGGGAGAGAGACGGAGUCCCGCUCUGUCACGCAGGCUGCCAGGCUGGCGUACAGUGGCGCAAUCUCAGCUCGCUGCAACCUCCACCUCCUGGGUUCAAGCGAUUUUCUUGCCUCUGCCUCCUGAGUAGCUGGGAUUACUGGCACACACCACCAUGCACAGUUGCAGGAAUUUAGCCAAUUCAGAGGUCUUGUUCUCCAUAAUUUGGAAUUUUCCUUCGGAUUUGAUCAAGUUGGAUAGAGUUGGUCAAACCCAAUGGGAAAAAGAUGAAAACAACAAGAAACAGAAACAAACAGCAACAACAACAACAACAAAAACAAGCAGAGACCGCCGUGUGAAGAUGGAGGCAGAGAUCGGAGAGAUGCUGCCACACGCCACAAAUGCCUGGGGCUCCCAGAAACUACACGGAGCCUCCCCCAGCGGCUUCAGCAGGAGCAUGGCUCGGCCAACACUUUGAUCUUGGUCUUCCAGCCUCCAGAACGUUUUCCUAAAAUUCCCUUUUCCACUGGUGUGUGGUGCAAGAUGAGGCACAUU